CGUUUUCGUUCGAAGAAGAAACAACAUGAUUCGAUUGCUUCUCAUCUUCGGGACUAGCUACUGUGACCGAGGCGACCUCCAAGUCGACGUCGUUCGAUUUGCUCGACGACGAUGCUGGUACCAUGUGCCUUUCCACCGAUACAUAACGAAAAAACGUACCUGUAACCAUACUCUCGUAGAAGAAUUCCUAGGAUGGGUGGAAGAAAUAUCGAACCUAAUGCACUACCAGAUAUGCAGAGCCCAUUUGCAAGUCCACGUAACCGUACAAAGUAUGAAGUUACUAUAUACACAGUUGGGGGAAAAGAUAACCCUGCUCCAGUUCCUACCAGAACACCAUAACUAAAAGAUUGAACAAACAAUAAGAUUACACAUUUACAUAAAAAAUGUAAUAGUAUGCUUUUAAUUUAAUAGCAAUAAUAAUAUAUUAAUAAUUACCUGACACACAAGAAGGCCACAGAGUUGGCAAAAUAACUUAGCAUCAUUCCUGCAGCAGCAAAUGUUCCUCCCAAUAAAGUCACUGUUCUAUAGGAGUAUUUAACUGAUAGUACACUGGAAAGGGGUCCUACAACAAAAAUUAAUUUUCUUAUUUUCAAUUCCAAAUGUUUGCCACUAGAUAAUAGUUUUACCUAGUUUUAAUUAAGCUUACCAAGUGAACUAUACAAAAAAUAGCAUAAAGCUGGUAUCCAAGCAGCUGCAGAAGGUGAUGCAUCAAAAACUUCUAGAAAUUCAACAAAUAAAACACCAAAGGAUUUCACUGUUCCUGGAAUUAGUAGAUUGACCAUAACGGAUGCUAAAAGUACAAGCCAUCCCCAUCCUCCAUCCGGUGGGACUAGGUCCUCUUCAGUUGUUACAUUUUUAACUAAAUAAAAAGAAUUAUGAAUAUUAUUAUUAUUUAUAAGUAUAUACGACUAGAUUCCAUUAGUUUACUCAAUUCAUACUUAUUGUUAUAGCAUAUUUUAUAUACAAUUGAAAAACAAAUUCCUUUUAAAAAUUUAAAAAGUCCUUAUCUUUUAUAUAGAAUUAAAAUACUAUGUUUUUAAUUAUAACAUAUUUGAAAUAAUUUCGUGUUAGAAAAUUUCCCAUAACUAUCUGGAGAGAUAUACAUAUUUUUUUACUUGAAAUAGAAUACUUUAUCACUAAACAAAAUAUGAAAAAAAGAGCGUAAAACAUCGGUAAUUGUAUAUUUGUAUUUAUUAUUAGAACUCAUUAAGAAAAUUUAAAAUUCUCAGUGCAUAUCAUAUUUUUAGUCAUUGCUAAAAAGAUCGCAAUAUAAAGCGAUUUUUAAAAAGAUCACAAUGAAUCUUUAUUACGUUUCCUAUCUUUUUACUCAUAAAUUAAAAUAUUUACAUACAAUUAGUGGGUGAACAUUGAUCCCUUCAGAAAAAAAAAGGAAAAAAGAAAUAAAAAUGUAGAUUCUCAAUGUAAA